rnacentral:rRNA from 1 species
AUUGAACGCUGGCGGCAGGCCUAACACAUGCAAGUCGAGCGGGGUUUUCGGACCUAGCGGCGGACGGGUGAGUAAUGCGUAGGAAGCUGCCCGAUAGAGGGGGAUACCAGUUGGAAACGACUGUUAAUACCGCAUAAUGUCUACGGACCAAAGUGUGGGACCUUCGGGCCACAUGCUAUCGGAUGCGCCUACGUGGGAUUAGCUAGUUGGUGAGGUAAUGGCUCACCAAGGCGACGAUCUCUAGCUGGUUUGAGAGGAUGAUCAGCCACACUGGAACUGAGACACGGUCCAGACUCCUACGGGAGGCAGCAGUGGGGAAUAUUGGACAAUGGGCGCAAGCCUGAUCCAGCCAUGCCGCGUGUGUGAAGAAGGCCUUCGGGUUGUAAAGCACUUUCAGCGAGGAGGAAGGGUGGUGUGUUAAUAGCACAGCAUUUUGACGUUACCUACAGAAGAAGCACCGGCUAACUCUGUGCCAGCCGCCGCAGUAAAAC